GCUAUAGGCUUUAGCGACAGAAAUCUGUCGUCUUCGGUGUUCUUCACCAGCCCAGAAUUCCAAAGUCAACAUCCGAGUGAGCUAGUUUGACCGAUUAUAAUUCUCAAUCCAUUACGUUUCUGGGCAAUCUAACACUUAGAUCUUGUAGUACUAGUGUAAUAAUACAAUUAUCAACAAAUAUCAUGUUUAAACAACAUCAGAUCUGGGAGAUAUUGGUCAUCAAAAACUCUGACAACACUGUUCUUCAACUGAAGAACAGUCGAG
rnacentral:lncRNA from 1 species